CAAGACCUGAGCUGAGAUCAAGAGGAAGAUGUUUCUUCAUGGUGUACUACCAAUAUGAAGAGUACAGGCCUCUGAGGUUUCCAGCUUUAACAGGGUCUGCCAUUUCUAACUCCCUGUCUCCCAUUGGUCCUUUACCAAAGAAGUGGUAUACAUCAAAGGGACCCCUGGGUGGCUCAGUCAUUAAGAGGCUGCCUUCGGCUCAGGUCACGAUCCCAAGGUCCUGGGAUGGAGUCACACAUUGGACUCCCUGCUCGGUGGGAAGCCUGCUUCACUCUCUCC
rnacentral:lncRNA from 1 species